CAAUAGCGUAUAUUAAAGUUGUUGCAGUUAAAAAGCUCGUAGUUGGAUUUGUGGUUCGUCCCGCCGGCUGGGUCAUUGACUUUUGCUGUGCUGGUCGUCCAUCCUUGGGUGGAAUCUGUGUGGCAUUAGGUUGUCGCGCAGGGGAUGCCCAUCGUUUACUGUGAAAAAAUUAGAGUGUUCAAAGCAGGCUUAUGCCGUUGAAUAUAUUAGCAUGGAAUAAUGAUAUAGGACCUUGGUACUAUUUUGUUGGUUUGCGCACUGAGGUAAUGAUUAAUAGGGACAGUUGUGGGUAUUCGUAUUCCAUUGUAAGAGGUGAAAUUCUUGGAUUUUUGGAAGACGAACUACUGCGAAAGCAUUUACCAAGGAUGUUUNCAUUAA
rnacentral:rRNA from 1 species